UAGUCCACGCCGUAAACGAUGUCAACUAGCCGUUGGCCCCAUCUAGGGGUUAGUGGCGCAGCUAACGCGAUAAGUUGACCGCCUGGGGAGUACGCCGGCAACGGUAAAACUCAAAGGAAUUGACGGGGGCUCACACAAGCGGUGGAGCAUGUUGCUUAAUUCGAAGCAACGCGAAGAACCUUACCCAGGUUCGAAAUGCUAGGAUUAGCUUGCCGAAAGGUAAGUGACGCCUCGUGGUGGAACUAGUAUAGGUGUUGCAUGGCUGUCGUCAGCUCGUGUCGUGAGAUGUCGCGUUAAGUCGCUGAACGAGCGAAACCCUUGUCCUUAGUUGCCAGCACCUCGGGUGGGGACUCUAGGGAGACUGCCGUUGUUAAAACGGNGGAAGGUGGGGAUGACGUCAAGUCAUCAUGGCCUUUAUGCCUGGGGGCUGCAAACGUGCUACAAUGGCAGGGUACAAAGGGGAAGCAAGACCGCGAGGUUUAGCAAAUCCCAUAAAGCCU
rnacentral:rRNA from 1 species